rnacentral:rRNA from 1 species
UCUGGUUGAUCCUGCCAGUAGUCAUAUGCUUGUCUUAAAGAUUAAGCCAUGCAUGUCUAAGUAUAAAUAGUAUACAGUGAAGCUGCGAAUGGCUUAUUAAAACAGUUAUAGUUUACUUGAUAAUCGAAUUUUAUAUGGAUAACCGUAAUAAUUUUAGAGCUAAUACAUGCUGUUAAACCUGACUUUUCGGAAAGGUUGUAUUUAUUAGAUAACAAACCAACAGCUUCGGCUGCUGUGAUGAUUCAUAAUAACUGAUCGGAGUGAAGCUAGUCUUCACUAAAUCAUUCAAGUUUCUGCCCUAUCACUUUGUUGUUAGUGUAUUGGACUAACAAGAGGAUUACGGGUACGAGGAAUUAGGGUUUGAUAUCGGAGAGGGAGCCUGAGAAACGGCUACCACUUCUAAGGAAGGCAGCAGGCGCGUAAAUUACCCAAUUCCGACUCGGAGAGGUAGUGACAAGAAAUAAUAACUCGGAUAGUUUUACUAUUACGAGAUUAAAAUGAGAACAAUUUAAAGAUCUUAUCGAGGAACAAUGAGAGGACAAGUCUGGUGCCAGCACCCGCGGUAAUUCCAGCUCUUAUAGUGUAUAUUAAAGUUGUUGCAGUUAAAAAGCUCGUAGUCUAUCAUCUAGUACUUUGCGUAUUGGCUCACGCCAAAACGUUAAAGUGCUAUCUGUUCGAGAACUUCUUCUACCUUAACUGGUCGGAGAUGCUGAUCGGACAUUUUCCUGAGAAAAAAUUAGAGUGUUCAACGCAGGCUAAUGCAGUGAAUAUUACAGCUUGGAAUAAUAGAAUAAGACUGAAGUCUCUUUUGUUGGUUAUGAACUUUAGUAAUGGUUUAUAUAAACAGUCGGGGGUAUUAGUAUUUAAGUGUCAGAGGUGAAAUUCUAUGAUUACUUAAAGACUAACUUAUGCGAAAGCAUUUACCAAGGAUGUUUUCAUUGAUCAAGAACGAAAGUUAGGGGAUCAAAGACGAUCAGAUACCGUCCUAGUCUUAACUAUAAACGAUUCCGACCAAGGAUCGGGAGGGUCUGCUAAGCUCUCUCGGCACUUUAUGAGAAAUCAAAGUCUUUGGGUUCUGGGGGAAGUAUGGACACAAGUCUGAAACUUAAAGGAAUUGACGGAAGGGCACACAAGGUGUGGAGACUGCGGCUUAAUUUGACCCAACACGGGGAAACUUACUAGGGCAAGACUAAGGUUGGAUUGACAGAAUGAGAGCUCUUUCUUGAUUCUUAGGGU